GAAUCGCGAAAGGUAGUGUGAAUUGCAGAACCGUGAAUCAUCGAGUCUUUGAACGCAUCUUGCGCUCGGGGGCCAUUCCCCCGAGCAUGCCUGUCUGAGUGUUGGGAAUCUCUAUCUUGAAAAGGGAUGUGGGAUUGCUGGGCCUGGCUGACCAGGCGAAGCUCUCCUGAAAAAAAAAAGAUAAAACAGCUUUCUCGUGCGCGCGCCGCUGCCAAACGCCAGAAAGAGAGAGUACGAUGUUUACCGCCGCUACUCUUGCUUCUCUGUGUGUGUGUGUGCGUGUGCGUGUGGGCGAAAGCACUCUAUUCAUUUCGACCUCAGAUCAGGUAGGACUACCCGCUGAACUUAA
rnacentral:misc_RNA from 1 species